CGAACAUCACGCAUGCGCGCAGCACACAAAAUCCUCAGCAGCAGCAGAAGCAGAGGUGCCGGAGUAACGAUCACUUCGCGCAUGCUCACAGUCUUGGGGUGGGCGGUGUUUUCCUUUCUGCUCAGUGCUGAAGUGGAUCGUCUGCAGGAUCGGGAAAUGUUCCUCGCCUCCUGGGUCAGGGAGCUGGGGGUUGGGAUCACUGUCUGCGGGCUGAAGAUAUCACUUUCCCGUUGUUAGAUCUGCAGUGAGAGAUUUAUUGGAAGAAAAACCCCAACUGGAAGCAAACCACUUCUGAAGACGGGGGAACAACAGCAAGUGAACCAGCUCAAGGAUUGAGAGCAUCAACUGGAGAGGACCCAUCUGACUCGGGGAAUCCAGUGAUUCAGUCAGGAGAAAGUUUGGUUAAAAAUGACAAGGAAUUUGUCUACGGGAAUCUCGAACACAACAAGCCAGUUUUGCUGUUUCUGUCCAGAUAUUUAAAAAGAGGAGUAAGGGAUUCACUCGAUCAUCCGUCCUACUCAGACUGUGGGGAGGAAUUCACUCGAUUAUCUGACCGACUGGCACGCCCGUCAUUUUACACAGGGGGGAACCCAUUCAUCUGCUCAGCCAGUGGGAAUGGAUUCACUCAGUCAUCUCAACUGAAGUUGGAAGCUGAAGCUGAAGUUGGAAGUUUACAUACACUUAGAUUGAAGUCAUUAAAACUCCUUGUUUAACUACUCCACAGAUUUCAUUUUAGCAAACUAUAGUUUGGGAAGACGUUGAGGACAUGUGCUUUGUGCAUGACACAAGUAAUUUUUCCGCAAUUGUUUACAGACAGAUUAUUUCACUUUUAAUUGACUAUAUCACAAUUCCAGUGGGUCAGAAGUUUACAAACACUAAGUUAACUGUGACUUUAACUAGCUUGGAAAAUUCCAGAAAUGAUGUCAAGCCUUUAGGCAAUUAGCCAAUUAGCUUCUGAUUCAAGUGGAAGUGUACCUGUGGAUGUAGUUUAAGGCCUACCUUCAAACUCAGUGCCUCUUUGCUUGACAUCAUGGGAAAAUCAAAAGAAAUCAGCCAAGACCUCAGAAAAAGAAUUGUGGACCUCCAUAAGUCUGGUUCAUCCUUGGGAGCAAUUUCCAAAUGCCUGAAGGUACCACGUUCAUCUGUACAAACAAUAGUACGCAAGUAUAAACACCAUGGGACCACACAGCCGUCAUACCGCUCAGGAAGGAGAUGCAUUCUGUCUCCUCGAGAUGAACGUACUUUAGCACGAAAAGUGCAAAUCAAUCCCAGAACAACAGCAAAGGACCUUGUGAAGAUGCUGGAUGAAAAAGGUAGACAAGUAUCUAUAUCCACAGUAAAACGAGUCCUAUAUCGACAUAACCUGAAAGGCUGCUCAGCAAAGAAGAAGCCACUGCUCCAAAACUGCCAUAAAAAAGCCUGACUACAUUUGCAAGUGUACAUGGGGACAAAAAUCUUACUUUCUGGAGAAAUGUCCUCUGGCCUGAUGAAACAAAAAUUGAACUGUUUGGCCAUAAUGACCAUCGUUAUGUUUGAAGGAAAAAGGGUGAAGCUUGCAAGCCGAAGAACACCAUCCCAACUGUGAAGCAUGGGGGGUGGCAGCAUCAUGUUGUGGGGGUGCUUUGCUGCAGGAGGGACUGGUGCACUUCACAAAAUAGAUGGCAUCAUGAGGAAGGAAAAUUAUGUGGAUAUAUUGAAGCAACAUCUCAAGACAUCAGCCAAGAAGUUAAAGCUCGGUUGCAAAUGGGUCUUCCAAAUGGACAAUGACCCCAAGCGUACCUUCAAAGUUGUGGCAAAAUUGCUUAAGGACAACAAAGUCAAGGUAUUGGAGUGGCUGUCACAAAGCCCUGACCUCAAUCCGAUAGAUAAUUUGUGGUCAGAACUGAAAAAGUGUAUGCGAGCAAGGAGUCUACAAACCUGACUCAGUUACAUCAGUUCUGUCUGGAGGAAAGGAGCAAAAUUCCAGCAACUUAUUGUGAGAAGCUUGUGGAAGGCUACCCUAAACGUUUGACUCAAGUUAAACAUUUUAAAGGCAAUGCUACCAAAUACUAACAAAGUGUAUGUAAACUUCUAACCCACUGGGAAUGCGAUGAAAGAAAUAAAUGCUGAAAUGCAUCAUUCUCUCUACUAUUAUUCUGACAUUUCACAUUCUUAAAAUAGUGAUCCUAACUGACCUAAGACAGGGAAUGUUUUGUAGGAUUAAAUGUCAGAAAUUGUGAAAAACUGAGUUUAAAUGUAUUUGGCUAAGGUGUAUGUAAACUUCUGACUUCAACUUUACAUCAGCAAGAGGAGAGCAGUAGUGAUAUGGGAUUCGAUAGGGGGACAGAUAAGAGGUUCUGUGGAAGAGAUCGAGAAUUCUGGAUGGUCUGUUGCCUCCCUGGUGCCAAGGUCUGCGAUAUCUCGGUAUUCUCAAGAGGGAGGGUGAGCAGCUGGAUGUCUUGGUCCAUGUAGGGGCCAAUGACGUGGGUAGGAAGAGUGAGGAGGUCCUGAAAGGUGAGUUUAGGGAGUUAGGCGCCAAGUUAAAGGACAGGACCUCCAGGAUAGCAACCUCAGGAUUGCUACCACUGCCAUGUGCAGGCGGGUUUAGAAAUAAUAAGAUAGCGCAGAUCAACACGUGGCUGAAGACAUGGUGCAGGAGGGAGGGCUUCAGAUUUAUAGAUAAUUGGGCAGUUUUCCAGGGAAGGUGGGACCUGUUCUGGUGGGACAGUUUACAUCUGAACUGGAGAGGGACAAAUAUUCUUGCAGGUAGGUUUGCUAGGGAGGCUCCGGUGGAUAAACUAGGUACAAGGGGGGAGGGGAACCAGAGUGUAGGAACAGAUGUGGGGGAGAAGGAAGAAAAAGAAAAUAGUAAAGUUGUUUGCACCGUUAGUGAUAAACAGAGAGUAACAGGUGGAAAAUCUCUUAAAUGCAUUUAUUUUAAUGCUAGGAGAUUUUAAGAAAGAUUGGAUGAGCCUAAAGCAUGGAUUGAUACCUGGAAGUAUGAUGUGGUAGCUAUUAGUGACCUUGAAGGAAGUUAGUGUGGAAAUAUCAGGGGCUCUGACAGAAAUAUUUCAAAUGUCAUUAGAAACGGGGAUGGUGCUGGAGGAUUGGCGUAUUGCUCAUGUUGUUCCAUUGUUUAAAAAAGGGUUCUAAGAGUAAACCUAACAAUUAUCGGCCUGUGAGUUUGACGUCAGUGGUGGGUAAAUUGAUGGAAAGUAUUCUUAGAGAUGGUAUAUAUAAUUAUCUGGAUAGACGGGGUCUGAUUAGGAGCAGUCAACAUGGCUUUGUGCGUGGAAGGUCAUGUUUGACAAAUCUUCUUGAAUUUUUUGAAGAGGUUACUAGGAAAGUUGAUGAGGGUAAAGCAGUGGAUGUUGUCUAUGUGGACUUGAGGCCUUUGACAAGGUUCCACACGGAAAGUUGGUUAGGAAGGUUCAGUCGUUAGGUAUUAAUAUUGAAGUAAUAAAAUGGAUUCAGCAGUGGCUGGGUGGGAGAUGCCAGAAAUGGUGGUGGAUAACUGUUUGUCAGAUUGGAGGCUGGUGACUAGUGGUGUGCCCCAGGGAUCUGUACUGGGUCCAAUGUUGUUUGUCAUAUACAUUAAUGAUCUGGAAGAUGGGGUGGUAAAUUGGGUAAGUAUGCAGAUGAUAUUAAGAUAGGUGGAAUUGUGGAUAAUGAAAUAGGUUUUCAAAGCUUGCAGAGAGAUUUAGGCCAGUUAGAAGAGUGGGCUGAAAGAUGAUAGAUGGAGUUUAAUGCUGAUAAAUGUGAGGUGCUACAUUUUGGUAGGACUAAUCAAAAUAGGACAUACAGGGUAAAUGGUAGGGCAUUGAAGAAUGCAGUAGAACAGAGGGAUCCAGGAAUAAUGGUGCAUCGUUCCCUGAAAGUGGAAUCUCAUGUGGAUAGGGUGGUGAAGAAAGCUUUUAGUAUGCUGGCCUUUAUAAAUCAGUGCAUUGAGUAUAGGAGUUGGGAUGUAAUGUUGAAAUUGUACAAGGCAUUGGUGAGGCCAAAUUUGGAGUAUUGUGUACAGUUUUGGUCACCGAAUUAUAGGAAAGAUGUCAACAAAAUAGAGAGAGUACAGAGAAGAUUUACUAGAAUAUUACCUGGGUUUCAUCUCCUAAGUUACAUAGAAAGGUUGAACAAGUUGGGUCUGUAUUCUUUGGAACGUAGAAGGCUGAGGGGGACUUGAUAGAGAUAUUUAAAAUUAUGAGGGGGACAGAUAGAGUUGAUGUGGAUAGGCUUUUUCCAUUGAGAGAGGGGGAGAUUCAAACAAGAGGACAUGAGUUGAGAGUUAAAGGGCAAAAGUUUAGGGGUAACAUGAGGGGGAACUUCUUUGCUCAGAGAGUGGUAGCUGUGUGGAACGAGCUUCCAGCAGAAGUGGUUGAGGCAGGUUCGAUGUUGUCGUUUAAAGUUAAAUUGGAUAGGUAUAUGGACAGGAAAGGAAUGGAGGGUUAUGGGCUGAGUGCAGGUCAGUGGGACGAGGUGAGAGUAAGAGUUCGGCAUGGACUAAAAGGGCCGAAAUGGCCUGUUUCCGUGCUGUAAUUGUUAUAUGGUUAUAUAAGUUCACACUGGGACAAAGCCAUUCACCUGUUCUGUGGAUGAGAAGGGAUUCAGUCGGUCUUCCCACCUGUGGAUGCACCAGUCAGUUCACAUUGGGCAGAGGCUGGUGAUCUGCUGAAUUUGUGGGGAAAGAUUCACUUGGUCAUCUGACCUAAUGGCUCACCAGCGAGUUCACACCGGUGAGCGGCCAUUCACCUGCUCGGACUGCGGGAAUGGAUUCACUCAGUCAUCCAACCUACAGAGACACCAUCAAUUCGCACUGGGGAGAGGCAAUUCACCUGGUCAGUCUGUGGGAAGGGAUUCACUCAGGCAUCUCACCGAUUGACACACCAGUCAGUUCACACUGGGGAGAGGGCGUUCACCUGCUGUGAAUGUGGGAAGGGAUUCACUCCGUCAUCUGAUCUGCUGGCAUACCAGUCAGUUCACACUGGGGAGAAGCUGAUCACCUGCUCAGAGAUUGUGAAGAAAUUCUCUCAGUCAUCUCCACCAAAUGUGCAUCAUUGAGUUCACACUGGGGAGGGAUGUGGGAAGGAUUCACUCAGUAAUCUAACCUUGUGACACACUACCGGGUUCACACUGGGGAGAAAGUGUCAAUAAGCUGCAAGCUGGAUAAUUGUCCAUCACCGUACUGAAUGCAAUUUUGAGAGUGACUGUCGGUGCUGAACUCUGCAAUUAUUGCUGCUGCUCACCACACCCAGUUCUGCACCCUGGUCACUGGGCAUGGGAGGAGUUUUUUCUGCUGCAUAUUCACCUUAAUGGGACUGGAGUUUAAUAUUCUGGGUCUGCGACAAAUAAAUCAGUUCUAUUUUAAACUCUGUCUCCUGUACUGUGCAAUAGAGAGUCAACUAAGGCCGGCUGGACCCUGCCAGUGAUUCUGUUCCACGACAGUCUUUUUGAGUCCUCCCCUGUUGUUCACCUCUUGCUCUCCCAGUGGUGAUGGGUUCCAAAUAGUCACCACUCUGUGGGUGAAGAGGUUUCCCUUGAAUUUUCUGCAGACUGAAGUUGAGCUGACUGCAGUUCUGUCUGAGAUGUUCUUCGCCCCUCUAAUCUCUGGGCUGAGGAAGAAUGACAUUGGUAGUUAACCUCCUGAAUCACGACUCAUUUCCGCAUUGUGGGUCAUUUUCCCUGCUUCUAACGGGUAUUAGAAAACACCACUGUCCUCUAAAGACUGAAAGAAUGGGAAACCAUCAGUUGGAUGUUCAACAGAGGAGGGUCAGAAACCAGAGGCGGGUCUGCACAGGGCAGAGUUUGGGGCUCUGGACGAUGGUCGGGGUAAGAACGUAUGAUGAGAAUGGAAUCAGCAGCGGGACGUGGCAACAAAUGACAAAGUAGCAACAUUUGGAAGCUGAUUGACAGAGAAAAUACUUAAGUUGUCUGACUGACGACACAAACAAUGCCUGUUGUGAGGUGCUCCAUUGGUCGAGGAACGGGUGUGUGUUGGGAAUCUAUUGAGUGAGUUGUUCCUGCAUGUUUAUCCUGUAAUAUUAUAUCCGGAUGGUUAUUAUGGAUCGUCCUAUCUGUAAUAAUAUGAUUAUCAUAUAAUUCGUAAGAUAUUGACUAUAACUGGAUCAGGCUUGAAUUUAUGGUGCUUUAAUGAAGUUACGGUGGUCAUUCAUGAGUUUGUAUUUAAAAGCAAGAUUUUGGUGAAUGAUAUUUGCAACUUGAUUGUACCUUUGUAAGUAAUCGUAUUGAGUUAAACUGCUUCAGGAUCUUGGAAUGUGUUGGAUUGUGUCUGGUUUCUCGGCAUUUUCUGCAUUUAUCAUCUGCUAGUUUGCCUUUUAUGUAAUUUUGAUAUUUUUUAAUGUUAACCCUGUCCUGUAUUUCUGCAAGGAACCUCUGUUUCUCUGAGUUUGAUGCUUCCUUGACAACAUCUAGUUUGCUCAGAUCAUUGGGAUGUCUCCCAUACCGAGUCAUACUCAUUCCACUGGUUAACGUUUUCUUCCAUAGUGAUGAUUCAUUUUUUCUGAGUUGGUCUCUCAUUUAAGUUUUCUGGCCUGUAUUUAUUAUCAGAAUUGCAUAUACCUGCCUAGUGUUUCGAAUCCUGUUUAUUUCGUAUGAAAAUAUAUACUUUAGAAAUCUUAUCAGACUGUUGGGUGAUUUUUUAAAAAA